UACGUAGGGGGCUAGCGUUGUCCGGAUUUAUUGGGCGUAAAGAGCGUGUAGGCGGCCAGGUAGGUCUGCUGUGAAAACUCGAGGCUUAACCUCGAGAUGUCGGCGGAAACCAUCUGGCUAGAGUCCGGAAGAGGAGAGUGGAAUUCCUGGUGUAGCGGUGAAAUGCGCAGAUAUCAGGAAGAACACCCCGUGGCGAAGGCGGCUCUCUGGGACGGUACUGACGCUGAGACGCGAAAGCGUGGGGAGCGAACAGG
rnacentral:rRNA from 1 species